UACGUAGGGGGCAAGCGUUGUUCGGAAUUACUGGGCGUAAAGCGCGUGUAGGCGGCUUUGCAAGUCGGAUGUGAAAGCCCACGGCUCAACCGUGGAAGUGCAUCCGAAACUGCAUGGCUCGAGUCUCGGAGAGGAAGGUGGAAUGCUUGGUGUAGAGGUGAAAUUCGUAGAUAUCAAGCAGAACACCUGCGGCGAAGGCGGCCUUCUGGACGAUGACUGACGCUGAGACGCGAAAGCGUGGGGAGCAAACAGG
rnacentral:rRNA from 1 species